rnacentral:rRNA from 1 species
UGAUGAGAACGCUAGCGGCAGGCCUAAUACAUGCAAGUCGAACGAUACCAGAGAGCUUGCUCGUCUGCCAAAGUGGCGCACGGGUGCGUAACGCGUAUGCAACCUACCUUAAUCAGGGCUAUAGCCUCUCGAGAGAGAUUAACACCGCAUAACAUCAGAUACGGCAUCGUAGAAUGAUCAACCGUAUAUUUAUGAGGAUUAAGAUGGGCAUGCGUGACAUUAGCUAGUUGGUGAGGUAACCGGCUCACCAAGGCUACGAUGUCUAGGGGAUCUGAGAGGAUGACCCCCCACACUGGUACUGAGACACGGACCAGACUCCUACGGGAGGCAGCAGUAAGGAAUAUUGGUCAAUGGAGGCAACUCUGAACCAGCCAUGCCGCGUGCUAGGAAGACGGCCCUAUGGGUUGUAAACUGCUUAUACGGGAAUAAACCUCUCUACGUGUAGGGAGUUGAAUGUACUGUAAGAAUAAGGAGUGCUAACUCCGUAGCAGCCGCGGUAAUACGGCAGGAUCCAAGCGUUAUCCGGAAUAUUGGGUUCAUAUGUGGUGCGUAGGCGGCCUAUUAAGUCAGGGGUGAUGACGGUGGCUCAACCAUCGCAGUGCCCUUGAUACUGAUGGGCUUGAUUACACAUGAGGUAGGCGGAAUGUGACAAGUAGCGUCGUAAAUGCAUAGAUAUGUCACAGAACACCAAUUGCGAAGGCAGCUUACUAAGGUGUCAAUGACGCUGAGGCACGAAAGCGUGGGGAUCAAACAGGAUUAGAUACAUGGACGUCCACGCCCUAAACGAUGAAUACUCGAUGUUAGCGAUAUAUAGUUAGCGUCAAUCCGAACGCGUUAAGUAUGCCACCUGGGGAGUACGCCCGCAAGGGUGAAACUCAAAGGAAUUGACGGGGGCCCGCACAAGCGGAGGAGCAUGUGGUUUAAUUCGAUGAUACGCGAGGAACCUUACCCGGAUUUGAAAGUUACUGAAUAACUCAGAGAUGAGUUAGUCCGCAACCUGGAAACUAGGUGCUGCAUGGCUGUACGUCAGCUUCGUGCCGUGAGGUGUUGGGUUAAGUCCCGCAACGAGCGCAACCCGUAUGUCCAGAUACCAGCAUGUUAUGGUGGGGACUCUAGACAGACGGGCCUGUGCAAACAGAGAGGAAGGAGGACGACGUCAAGUCAUCAUGGCCCUUAACGUCCGGGGCUACACACGUGCUACAAUGGGCAGUACAGAGGGCAGCUACCUGGUAACAGGAUGCCAAUCUCAACAGGCUGUUCACAGUUCGGAUAGAGGUCUGCAACUCGACCUCUUGAAGUUGGAUUCGCUAGUAAUCGCAGAUCAGCAAAGCUUAGCUCCCGGGCCUUGUACACACCGCACUGUCAAGCCAUGGAAGUUGGGUACCUGAAGUACGUCAACCGUAAGGAGCGUCCUAGGGUAAAACCGAUAACUGGGACGCUAG